UUAAGCCGGGGAGGGGCUUCCUUAUCACCGUUAAAAAGGCGUAAGUAUUGCAACAUGGCGGAUUACAGCGGGAGGAAAGGCAUCACCUCCGAAUAUACCGGCCUCGUCAAGACGACUUGGAGGCGUGUAAUGAUUUGAAACUCAUCCUGAAAUAUCUGUGGACUGUGCUGACCGUGCUGAGAUGAGUGGUUCGGCGAGGCGGACCUUGCAAACACCUACAUGGCCAUCACGACUGAAGUGGUGUUCGCCGACAGGUAAAAUGCAAGUGCAACCUUCACAGACUGCCAGAGAUUGAGUGAUAACAGACACUGGAGACCCUCCAAGCGAUGGCUGGUGACCGCCUGCCUCCAUCCACAGGCUGUUACACAAGGAGCCCUGGGAGUAACCUUGCUGGAAGCCCCGCGGGGCGCAAUGUGUGGCUGGCGUUAUACAGUCCCCAGCCAUCGACUGGAGGGCAUCCGUUGUCUGUUAUCACUCACCUUAGGUAGUCUGUGAAGGUCCAGUCAUCACUGGUGCACGUGUAUCUUACCUGUGAUCAACACCGGCAGCCACAGACUCCUGCCCAAUGAACGAACACAGGUAAGCUAUUAUUUCACCUCGCCACACCUAUCCUUUAGAAUAUUCAACUCUUUUUACCUAACACACCUGUUAAUCUUGUGACUGACUUCAACAAACGUUUACCACCAACCUUACCAAACCCUAAACAAUACCUUUAAUAUUUGACUAUCUAUUUUAUCCCCUUGAAUCUAGCCCAGUGAAUUCAAAGGAUGAAUAUGAUUUUUUCAAAGGAAAGUACAGUUUAAUAAACAAACAUUUCAAGGACAUUGACUGGGUCAUUGAAUUUAUGGGAUUAGAUAUUGAUCAGUCUUACUCGAGAUUUAAGUGUUUAUUAGGUCCCUGUUCACUAAAGCCUCCUUGGACCACAAGCAUACCUAAUGAUACCAAACGUCUUAAACGGGAGGCUUGGCUUAACUAUAAAGAUGCUCAUUCUGUGUUUGGCAGAUCAUCUCCUAUUGCCUUAAGGUUGUGGUAUGUUUUUAGCCAUUUAUCCCUGGAAUUCAAAGAGAUUGUCCAUCAGUCAGUCAUUAAUUAUGAAAAAUCCCUUGUCUCUGCUGGUUACCAUGAUGUUAUGCGUGUUAUGCACCUGUAUGGGUGCCUUACGCAUUAUUAAUCCAGAUCCAGAUCCAGAUGAAGCGUUUUCACGCUUACCUUCGUCACAAAAAGAUUCAGCAUCCGGCAGUUGGGCCGUUAUAUAGUGAGGACGGAUGGUGAUUGAUUGAUUGAUUGAUUGAUUGAUAGAUUAUUGUUGCAAGUAAAACAACAAAGGAGAAGGGAGGAGCAUGCCAUCCCAACCCCCAGGCAGUACAGAGUGUGAUUAUACAACUAAGGAUACAUGUGUAAGUAGCACCAGGAAACUAAAAAGAUACAAUGGUAUUGGACAAGUGCUAAAAAAAAUAAAGGCCUUGAUUUAGUCAAGGGUGCAGACAUAAGGGACUGGACAUAUGAACUACAGUUUGGGGGCAAAUGCAGGAUACUCACUAAGCACAGCUAAAAGAACAUAAUUGUUAAUAAACCAGCCCACCAGCUCAGGCAGGUCCCAGUGGCCCUGUGGGCGGUAGGCACUAAUAGCAGAACAUUGCAGGUGUUGAGGCUGCAGAUAUGGCAAACCAUUUCAUUAGGGCUUUUUCCACUGUAUUUUCUAAAGAGUUCUUGAUUAAUCCUUAUCCUUUACAGCGGUGUGAUAACAAAUUUAUAUUCAAUGUCUAUAGUUUUGAUAUUUUUCAAAUAGAGAAUAUUUUGGCUCAAUUAAAACCUUCUGCUUGUUCUGGCCCUGAUGGUAUUCCUUCAGUCUUUUUAAAAAGAUGUGCCCAUUCUAUUAGUUACCCUAUGUUGCUACUGUUCAGAAAAUCUCUUUCAUCUAUGCAGGUCCCUUCAGACUGGAAAGAUGGUAAUGUUAUGCCACUGUUCAAAGGUGGAGUCCAUUCUGAUCCCCUCAAGUAUAGACCAAUUAAUUUUACAUCAGUGUGUUGUAAAUCUUUUGAAAGAAUGGUCGUGUCUCAACUUACUGCUUAUUUGGAAGAUAAUAACUUACUUUCCCCGUAUCAGUAUGGUUUUAGAUCGGGCAGAUCAGUUUCUGAGCAACUGUUAUAUACCUAUGACUAUGUGACUCAUUUCUAUGAUAGUGGUAUGUCAGUAGAUAUGAUAUUUUUUUAUUUCAAGAAAGCUUUUGAUGUUGUUAAUCAUAGAUUAUUACUCACAAUGCUGUCUAGUAUUGGGAUUGGGGGGUGUUUGCUGGGAUGACUGAAAGACUAUUUGAGUGGCAGCAAGAUGCAAGUAGUUAUCCAUGGUAGUGAGAGUUAUAAAGCGGAUGUAAGCAGUGGUGUUCCCCAAGGGUCGGUAAUUGGUCCCUUACUUUUUCUCAUCUACAUCAAUCAUGUUGUUUCAGAACUAAAUUGUAAGUUUUGCUUAUUUGCUGAUGAUCUAAAAUUAUACCUAGCUACUGCAAUUUCUAAGUCUAACCAUUUAAUUUCUCACAGUAUUUUGCAGAGACAUUAACACUCUUUACAACACGGGCAGUUCUUGGGGUUUAUCUUUCUCAGUUGGUAAAUGUGCAAGAAUGAACUUUUGUAGGAAUUUCCUUGAUGCUCCUGUUCCUUUACCAUAUUUUAUAGGAAACCAAGCCUUACAAGAUGUAGAUAACUAUAAAGAUCUUGGGGUCAGGGUGGAUUCCUCCCCAAAGUUUCACAGUAUUUUAAAGGGUACCCUUUGCAGAUCUCCUGAUUUCAUGAAGGCAGUUUUCAUCUCUCAUAUUCGCCCUAUCAUGGACUUUGCCUCUGUGGUUUGGUUCACUGGUUAUACAGGUGACAUUAGGCUUUUAGAAAAUGUUCAGAGGAGGUGGACUAAGAAAAUUGCCGGUUUUCAUGAUCUGCCAUAUAGUGAACGUCUCGCUAGAUUGAGUCUUUACUCCAUCAAAGGAGGGUUGAUCAGAGCUGAUCUUAUUAUGGUGUUCAACAUUAUGAAAGGGUUUUGUCCAAAUCUAGGUCACCUUUUUGUUAGAAAUCAUAAGAGACACAAGAGGCCACUCCUUCAAGCUUUUUGCUCCUUGUUACAACACUGAUGUUCGUGCUCGUGUCUUCUCAGUGCGGGUCAUUAGCAUUUGGAAUAAUUUACCUGAAUCAGUUCUCGUAGUGAAUUCUGUUAAUUCUUUUAAACGGCAUAUCGACACUUCUCUUGGUCAAAUUUUGUAUGAUUUUGAUUGACUUUGGGUUGUUGAGUAUCACUUUGAAUUGUAAAAUUGUGUCCUGUGCUGUGUCUCCACUCGGGAUUGCCAACCUGACUGCAUUGUCUUGCCACUUGCUCAAGAGUAUUAUGGCAGUGGUUUGUGUGGUCUUGGUGAUGCCACAGAGUCAACCAUCAGAUCAUCUAAAGGACUCUCUACUUGCUGUCUUGGUUGGAGGCGUCACUUGAUUCUAGAUGGGGUUCUCCCCAUCUAGGUAAGAAAUCUAGGUAAGAAAUACCUAUUUGGGUCACUAGUGUCUGUUAUUUCAUUUUUACUUGACUAACCUCCCAGCGGCGAUAAACCAAACCUAAUCAUAUUAACCUAACCUGGAUAAAUUUAUCAUUGACAUAUAGUUAUUUCAACUUAAUCUGUUGUUUAAGACAGCCAGUUUUAACCAAAUCAGCUAUUAUUUAGAAAAGUUGAUAUUUUUAACCUAACUCGGAUAUCAGAAGUGUCCUAACAAAAUUACCUUCCUUUGCUUGUUUUUAGUAACCAAACCAAAUCAAUUAGACGUAGCUCUUAAACUGAACUUACUCUAGUUCUCAAGCUUCCACACUAUUAGUUGCAUCACUUAUGACUUUUUUUCCUUUAGUCCUUAAUCAACUUGUUUAGAAACCUUGCUCCAACAAACCCAACUUAAUAUAAGUUCACCUCUCCUAACUCAGAUAAAUUUCCAAUUUGUGUUACUGAGAGGGGGAGAGGGGGGAAAGAUCUUUGAGAAACUUUGAGCAGGCAAGGAGGAAGUGUCUGGAUAGAGAGAGAUGGAAGCUCUUCUGCCAUGGCCAUCCCCUGGUGAGAGCUCCUAGGAGCAGGCGUCGAUGAAAUGAUGAUGAUGAUGAUGUUACUGACUAUUUUUUUAACCAAACAUUUUAAUUUUGGACGUAAGUUUUUAUACCAAAUUAACUAUCAUUCAGGAUGUUGCCUUAUUUUAACCUUACAAAAAUUAUAAACGUCACUGAACCUCAUUGACCCUACGUAACGUACGGUAGCUAUCCUUUCUGUAAAAUACUUCCCAGGAAUCCCUGGGUGUUGCAAAAUGAUACUAAUACCCAUGCUAGCUAGCAUUGUAGUAUUGUUUAAUUUGGUUUGGUCAUGUUUUUUUCCACAUUUGAAAUUAAUUAGUUAACAGUAUAUUAUGGCUUUUGUUAUUUGCAGCUUCCUUUCUUAUGAAGAUCUAAAAGUGAAUUUUAUGAUUAUUCUUAGUCUUACUCCCAAAUAGCUAUAAAAGUCAGUCAACUUGACUUUUGGAAAAGUAUAGAUAUAGAUAUAGGGCAGUUACCAAAGCAUUUCUAAUUGUAAUGUAUCUAUUUGCAGUGAUCGUGAUGACAUUGACAACAACGAGCAAGUCCUCCUAGACCUAGAGUGACCUCAAGCUGGCCCAAGCAUGAUGUGGAAGAAGAAAUCGGUUGUCUCCAUCAGCCGGGUUUGUGCCAUGGCAGCUUUCUCCAUCUGUCCGGCAGAGGUCCAGUCCGUGCCAUGGAGGAAUUCAGCCCCCAACAAGGAGAUGGCAUGCCAGAGAUGGAUCUGCAGCUUCUCCUCCAAUCAAUUAAUCCUUGCAAUGCCCUUUCUCUUUUCUCUCCUUUUGUACCACCAUGCUUACACAUAACUGAUCCAAGGUACUUAAACUCAUUACCCUCCAUUUUUUUACCAUUCAAAAUUAUUUUGCAUUCUUUUCACAUUCAAUGCCCAUUUAAUAAUUAAUAUGGGCAUACAAAAUCUACAACCUCCCUUCUAUUCCACUCACAAACUAUCACUAUACUUUUGUUGACAUUUACUUUAACUUUCUCCUCUUACAUUCACUAUCAAAAACACUGACCAGAUUUUUCUCCACUAAUUUUGGCACAUGCAGAUGCAUCCUCAUAGAAAGACUUUAUUGCACUGAGCAGUUUUCCUCCCACACCAUAUAUCUUUAAAACAUCCCACAAUCCAAUCCAAUCGACUCUGUCAUAAGCUUUUUCUAAGUCCAUGAAGGCAGCGUAUAGUUUCUUUCCUUUUGCUAUUAUUUUUUUCUACUACCAUCCUGAAGGAAAAUAUCUGAUUGAUUCCAUCAAUUCCUGCUGCUUUUCCAUUUUUUAAUCUUUUAAUUGUGUGAUUUACUUCUUCAUAUGUUAUACUUCUUUCUUUAUAUACUCCUCCUCUACCCCCACUCAAAACUGUUGCUGUUACAGCUACUGGACGUCCAUCAUCAAAAUUCAUUAAGUUUUUGAAUUAUUCUCUCCAUCUCUCUUUCACAGUUUCUCCGCCUUUCAACAUCUUUCCAGUCUCAUCCACAACUUCAUUAAUUUUACUUGGGGAGAUAUUAUUGGGGUGAUGCAUUUCUUUCAUUUUUUACUUCUUUCCAAUAUGAUUUCCUGUUCCCUAUAUAUUUUUCACUUGGUCUUUUUCCAAAAUCUUCAUCAACUCUCUUCUUACUUUCUUUUAUUGCUUGUUUUAAUUUCAUUUUGCAUUCUCUAUAUUUCUUUUUCUAUUCCCUUUUUACUUGCUCAGCCACAUUUCUUUCUUGAAAUUUCUUAAAAAGCUCCCUUCUCCCUUUUACUAUCCUCCUUAUCUCCAUUUCCUUUUCUUUUUCCAUCCCACACCAUUUUCAUCCCUACCACGUUUUUUGUUGUAGUUAACACUACUUCUUAAAAUGUUC